rnacentral:rRNA from 1 species
UACGGAGGGGGCAAGCGUUGUCCGGAUUUAUUGGGUUUAAAGGGUGCGUAGGCGGCUUAUUAAGUCAGUGGUGAAAUACUCUAGCUCAACUAGAGGGGUGCCAUUGAUACUGAUGAGCUUGAGUACAGAUGAGGUAGGCGGAAUUGACGGUGUAGCGGUGAAAUGCUUAGAUAUCGUCAAGAACACCUAUAGCGAAGGCAGCUUACUAGGCUGUAACUGACGCUGAGGCACGAAAAGUGUGGGGGAUCAAACAGG